rnacentral:ribozyme from 1 species
UCCUGAUGAACCAGCAGGGAGCGUACAUGCUGGCAGACAUCAGAAAACACCUGGCCUCGAAAAACAGAAAGACCAUCUUGCUGCACGUCGCC